rnacentral:lncRNA from 1 species
AAAAAGGUCGAUCCUUGGAUUUCUUAGUCCUAAUUCUUAUUUUUUUUUUUUCAGUUAAUGAUUUAAUGAGAGCUACAGUUUUCCAGUGAAUAGAGAAUCAUUAAUCACACACUUUUGACAUCUCUCUGAAUACCUGAAGCACAAGGGAAAAUGACAGAGUUACGUACUACAAAACAAGUAUUGGUACAUGCAAGACUUGGUGCAUUAUUUUGCAAGCAUACUUUAAUUUGUUUGGACAAAGAUUAACAAAGACUUUCUAUCACUGAUCAUAUGGAUCUGGUUUUCUACUUGAUGUGAAUGUUGGAGCUUGAAGGAAGCUUUGAGAUAAUGGGCUGUGGAGGAUAGGAGAAUGAACCAGUCUCCUUCCUUGUUCUUCAGUUCAGACAAUCCUCAGUUUGGACAACUGGAGGAUGAAGAUCCUAGGACAUACUGAAAGACUAACAGCUUCAGAAACACCAGAGCAAGGCAUACCAUUUACAUUAACACUCAGGGAGGAAGAAGAUUGACCUACUUGAAGGAGAGAAGAAAGCAGCACCAGCUGAAGAAUCUGGGGACCGUCUGCCACCUCUUCUGCCAGAUGGGUGAAAGGUGCGUCCUUCCUGCAGUGCCUCCACAUUGCUGGGUGCUCGCCCUUACAGCAGUAAUUAUAAGGGAGAAAUGUAGCUGUAUACAAUCAAUUCCGUAUUAAGCAUCCUCUCCUGUUAUUUAACGUUGAACUGAUGCAGAGCUUAAUGACUCACUACUUUCUGACAAAUAAUAAAUAUACCACACAGAGGCA